CGUAGGGUGCGAGCGUUAAUCGGAAUUACUGGGCGUAAAGCGUGCGCAGGCGGUUUAGUAAGACAGGCGUGAAAUCCCCGGGCUCAACCUGGGAACUGCGCUUGUGACUGCUAAGCUAGAGUACGGCAGAGGGGGUGGAAUUCCACGUGUAGCAGUGAAAUGCGUAGAGAUGUGGAGGAACACCAAUGGCGAAGGCAGCCCCCUGGGUCGAUACUGACGCUCAUGCACGAAAGCGUGGGUAGCAAACAGGGUUAGAUACCCUGGUAGUCCACGCCCUAAACGAUGUCAACUAGGUGUUGGGAGGGUAAAACCUUUUAGUACCGGAGCUAACGCGUGAAGUUGACCGCCUGGGGAUACGGCCGCAAGGUU
rnacentral:rRNA from 1 species